AGACUGGUUGGUAACUGGUAUACACUGUUGUAGUCCCUGGAGAAAACUUAACCACAGCUGCUGGACAGACUGGGGAAAUGAUGUCACAGUGAGCUGCAGAGAGACUGCAAACCUAACCCCCCAGCCUGGAGUUUAGAUGUUUGAAUGAGGUAUGGAUGGAUGAUGGAAUCAACCUCCAGCCUCAACCCGUCCUAAUGAAAUAAAGUGUAAACACCAACAUCUGAAGAUGCAGACAACAACCCUGACAAAGCAAGAAGAGUCCACCCAGAAAAGAAAAGAACAAAGGUACAACUGAAGGAACAUCAAAGCCAGGUCCCAGGCUGAAAGUCAUGUCUGCAAUUGACAGAUGAUCAAUCACAUUGAACCCAGAGGCAGCGUGACACAGCAAGUCCUAUAGACUCUGGAUUCAAACGAAAGCCUACAAAAAGGAUGGAUGAGAUGGAAGACUUUGGAGGGUAACAUUCUGCUGCCAACAUGGAAGGGCAUCGGUGCAUGCCCAACAGAGACCCAGCUCUUCCUUGUGCCCGGCUUUCCUGGCCAGUUAGCCGCCACAAGCUACAAACCCAAGCCACGAACUCAAGCUACAUUCAGGACAGGUCAAGGUAGAGUUACAUUGGCAGGACCAUGUGCAGAAGUUUUCCCAGCCAAUGUCUGUGCUGUAACUGUCCCGUAGAUAAUCAGAAGGAGAUCUCAAUAUUCAGGGCUAUCAAUUUGGCUCCUUUCACCAAUAUCAUAUUUCUUCACAAUUAAGAAGAAAACACCCUGGAAAAUAAGGAAUUCCAACUUGUCAGAAGACAUGAAAUUGUAUAAAAGAUCCUUGGGUCCUGAUUCUGUCAUCUCAGAUCUGCUUAGAUUUCAUCAGGGGAAGUUUGAGUCGCAAGACUGAGGUCCCAGUUAUGCUGGUACACUCUGAAUAUGAGAUUUGGACAUUGGACUAUGACCUAUGAACUGAAUUCUAAAGGAACUCUUUGCAACUUCGAAGCUCACCAUCUCUGCUAUGAAUCUGAACCUUAAUAAAUUGAACUCAUGUCUGUAUGUGUAUUGAUAUUUUAACCAUACUCUCUCUUUUGUGUUUUAAUACAUUUUAGUUUAGUUAAUAAGAAUUGCCUGUUGCAUGUAUUUGGGUAAGAUCUCAAACAUUCAUUAACCUGGGAGGUAAUGUGUCCAAUCCUUUGGGACUGGUAGAAACUUUUCUUUUAUAUGAUGAAAUAAGAUUUACAGAAAUUUUCAUCAUAUUUGAUGUGGGUACCUGGAUGGAGGC